rnacentral:rRNA from 1 species
CUACGGGGGGCAGCAGUGGGGAAUAUUGCACAAUGGAGGAAACUCUGAUGCAGCAACGCCGCGUGGAGGAUGACACUUUUCGGAGCGUAAACUCCUUUUAUAUAGGAAGAUAAUGACGGUACUAUAUGAAUAAGCACCGGCUAACUCCGUGCCAGCAGCCGCGGUAAUACGGAGGGUGCAAGCGUUACUCGGAAUCACUGGGCGUAAAGAGCGUGUAGGCGGGUUAAUAAGUCAGAAGUGAAAUCCUAUGGCUCAACCAUAGAACUGCUUUUGAAACUGUUAACCUAGAGUGUGGGAGAGGUAGAUGGAAUUUCUGGUGUAGGGGUAAAAUCCGUAGAGAUCAGAAGGAAUACCGAUUGCGAAGGCGAUCUACUGGAACUUAACUGACGCUGAGACGCGAAAGCGUGGGGAGCAAACAGGAUUAGAUACCCUCGUAGUC